rnacentral:rRNA from 1 species
UACAGAGGGUGCGAGCGUUAAUCGGAAUUAUUGGGCGUAAAGGGUGUGUAGGUGGUUUGAUAAGUUAGGUGUGAAAUACCUGGGCUCAACCUGGGUGCUGCAUUUAAUGCUGUUGAGCUGGAGUAUGGGAGAGGCAAGUGGAAUUUCCGGUGUAGCGGUGAAAUGCGUAGAUAUCGGAAGGAACAUCAGUGGCGAAGGCGGCUUCCUGGACCGGUUCUGACACUGAGGAGCGAAAGCGUGGGGAGCGAUCCGG